GCAGCAGUGGAAGUACACUAGACUGAGGUCCACCCUCACAGAGUCUUGGCGUUGGUUACACCAAGCUUCAGUGCAUCCCUCAGCACCAUCUUAAACCAGAUUGGGUGAGAUUGCAUAUCCUGUAACCGCACUGAACAAGAAGCAGACUUAUUUCUGCCAACUGUGCACAUACCACUCGAAGAACACAAGUAGAAUUUCUUCUCAUUUGCCCACAGUUAAGAAGUAAGAGCAUUUGAACGAACUGCAGGAGCUGAUUAAGCAGCUAAUCUUCUGCAACGUAUAUCCAUCAACUGGCUUUUAACACGGCAGAGUGAGUUUAUAAACAAAGGCUCAUGUUUGAAAAAGUACAAAGAAAAUAAAAUGCGCCAACUGAA